AGUGAACGCUGGCGGUAGGCCUAACACAUGCAAGUCGAACGGCAGCACAGUAAGAGCUUGCUCUUACGGGUGGCGAGUGGCGGACGGGUGAGGAAUACAUCGGAAUCUACUUUUUCGUGGGGGAUAACGUAGGGAAACUUACGCUAAUACCGCAUACGACCUACGGGUGAAAGCAGGGGAUCUUCGGACCUUGCGCGAUUGAAUGAGCCGAUGUCGGAUUAGCUAGUUGGCGGGGUAAAGGCCCACCAAGGCGACGAUCCGUAGCUGGUCUGAGAGGAUGAUCAGCCACACUGGAACUGAGACACGGUACAGACUCCUACGGGAGGCAGCAGUGGGGAAUAUUGAACAAUGGGCGCAAGCCUGAUCCAGCCAUACAGCGUGGGUGAAGAAGGCCUUCGGGUUGUAAAGCCCUUUUGUUGGGAAAGAAAAGCAGCAGGUUAAUACCCCGCUGUUCUGACGGUACCCAAAGAAUAAGCACCGGCUAACUUCGUG
rnacentral:rRNA from 1 species